GACGAACGCUGGCGGCGUGCUUAACACAUGCAAGUCGAACGGAAAGGCCCUGCUUGCAGGGUACUCGAGUGGCGAACGGGUGAGUAACACGUGGGUGAUCUGCCCUGCACUUCGGGAUAAGCCUGGGAAACUGGGUCUAAUACCGGAUAGGAGCCAUUUUUAGUGUGAUGGUUGGAAAGUUUUUUCGGUGUAGGAUGAGCUCGCGGCCUAUCAGCUUGUUGGUGGGGUAAUGGCCUACCAAGGCGGCGACGGGUAGCCGGCCUGAGAGGGUGGACGGCCACAUUGGGACUGAGAUACGGCCCAGACUCCUACGGGAGGCAGCAGUGGGGAAUAUUCCACAAUGGGCGCAAGCCUGAUGCAGCGACGCCGCGUGGGGGAUGACGGCCUUCGGGUUGUAAACUCCUUUCGCUAGGGACGAAGCUUUUUGUGACGGUACCUAGAUAAGAAGCACCGGCUAACUACGUG
rnacentral:rRNA from 1 species